UGUUAGCUGAGAGGUGAAAGGGGUUUGCUGCCAUAUGAGGAGAAAGGGAUAAGUGGACAGGGAGCUAUGAGGGGUUGGGAGCUCAGGUAAGGGUCACUGAAAAAAAGUAGGAACAUCUGUCAGCCUCGCAUUCUCCCCUUCUGUGUAUGUACCAGGAUCUGAGAAGCCUAAGCCCCACUUCCUACCCACCCUCCAUGUGAGCUGAGGUAUGGGACGGAGAGCCUGCAGGUAACAAAUUAACACAUCUGGAAGAAAUUACUAUAAGGAGGAGAGCUGGAAAAGUUGGUGGGUCAGAAGAUGGAGGAGAGAGGCACACUAGUCUUCUCACACACUUGAAGUUGCUAUAAUAGAACUAUCAAGGUUUUGGGACAUAGACCAAAAGAUUUUUCUCACUGGGUCUGUUAGCAACUACACAUUACAAAUGUUUCAAAGUACAACCAUUAUCCCCAUCCUGCUAUAACAAAAUGUACUGGAAGGGGCAGGAGCAAUGAGGAAUCACAUAGCAACUGUGUGACCCAGUGGAAAAACCACUGGACAAGGACAAUUCCUAGUCCUGCCACUGGCCUGCUGGAUGACCUCAGGCCAGUCACUUCACCUCUCUAACUCAAUUUCCCAUAUGCAAAAUGCGGAUGAUGUAAACUUCUUUGAAGCCUAUUGAUGAAAAACAGUAUAUAAAAUCUAAGCCCUUUGAUUACCUACCCAGAGUAGUGUAUUGACUGCAAACCUAGGUGAGAACUACAACUGUCUAAAUGACCAUUAACGCCUACUGUUUUUAAAAAAAACUUAAAGUAUUGUCUUUUAUUAUACCAACACA